rnacentral:pre_miRNA from 1 species
AUGUUGCACUUUUCGGAUUUCGAGAUUCAAACAAAUCUAUCUUUGACCGUAAAUUUUUCAUAGGUCUUUUAAACAUUUUGAAUUAUUAAUUAUUGUGACUUAUAGUACUUUUUACGUAGUUUACAAAUAUAUAAAUUUCAUUUCAAAAAAAUUGAAGAUUUCAUAUGCAAAUUCUCGGCCAAACUUAAAUUGUUUGACUCUCGAAAAAUGAAAAGUGCCACAUAA